GAGUCACCCACGCACACACUGGCAUGCACAGCAUAUACACACACAUACACAGGAGCACGGCACGCACACGUCUCUUUUGCACAAGUGACAUAUUUUUUAUCAUAGCUGGUCUAAAAUUUGACCGAAACGCCUUUUCACCUUUACAACUCGUAUAUGGAGGACGGCUUUUAUGCAAAAAAAAAAAAAAAAA